rnacentral:snRNA from 1 species
GGAUGUGAGAGAGAUCUGGUUGUGACAUCUGUCACCCCAUUGACUGGCAGGCUUCAUUUGGCUGAUUUGCUUCGCUGAUCGGGUGUCUCCUUCCUCCCUCACUGCUGCAUAUGUAUCCUGCCCGGGGCUGCACUGUUUGAAGAGGAUCAACCCUGACAGAGGAAGACUUUUCCUCUGUCAAAGGUAUCUGAGUAACUGUGCUUCUUGGCUAGAACCUCCAUCCAAGAACUAUCCAUGGUCAAGGAAAUAUAUGGAUCAUUAGAGACAAUAAUACAGCAAACUUACAAAAGGAUUUUAAAUAAAGCUUGCUU